UACGUAGGUGGCAAGCGAUACUCGGAAUCACUAGGCGUAAAGCGCAGGUAGGCGGUUUGGUAAGUCUUUUGUGAAAGCUCCCGGCUUAACUGGGAGAGGUCAAGGGAAACUACCGGACUAGAGUGUGGUAGGGGAUACUGGAAUUCAUGGUGUAGCAGUGAAAUGCGUAGAGAUCAUGAGGAAGACCAGUGGCGAAGGCGGGUCUCUGGACAGUUCCUGACACUGAGACACGAAGGCCAGGGGAGCAAACGGG
rnacentral:rRNA from 1 species